rnacentral:rRNA from 1 species
UACGGAGGGUGCAAGCGUUGUUCGGAAUCAUUGGGCGUAAAGGGCGCGUAGGCGGGUCGUUAAGUCCGACGUGAAAUCCCUCGGCUCAACUGAGGAAGUGCAUCGGAUACUGGCGGUCUUGAGUCCUGGAGAGGGUAGCGGAAUUCCCAGUGUAGAGGUGAAAUGUGUAGAGAUCGGGAGGAACACCGGUGGCGAAGGCGGGUCUCUGGGCAAUUCCUGACGCUGAGGCGCGAAAGCGUGGGGAGCAAACGGG